GUGCACGCUGGCGGUCGGCCUCACCCCUGCAAGUCGCACGGCAGCACAGUAAGAGCUUGCUCUUACGGGUGGCGAGUGGCGGACGGGUGAGGAAUACAUCGGAAUCUACUUUUUCGUGGGGGAUAACGUAGGGAAACUUACGCUAAUACCGCAUACGACCUACGGGUGAAAGCAGGGGAUCUUCGGACCUUGCGCGAUUGAAUGAGCCGAUGUCGGAUUAGCUAGUUGGCGGGGUAAAGGCCCACCAAGGCGACGAUCCGUAGCUGGUCUGAGAGGAUGAUCAGCCACACUGGAACUGAGACACGGUCCAGACUCCUACGGGAGGCAGCAGUGGGGAAUAUUGGACAAUGGGCGCAAGCCUGAUCCAGCCAUACCGCGUGGGUGAAGAAGGCCUUCGGGUUGUAAAGCCCUUUUGUUGGGAAAGAAAAGCAGCAGGUUAAUACCCCGCUGUUCUGACGGUACCCAAAGAAUAAGCACCGGCUAACUUCGUG
rnacentral:rRNA from 1 species